rnacentral:lncRNA from 1 species
UUUCAAUCCGCUAAUGAUAGUGUUUGAUAGUUAGCGGAUUGAAAUAAAGGUUUGGCCUCAAAAAGCUAAUUUUCAAAAAGCUACUUUGAGGAGCUUUUUGGGUUAGCGGUUUUGAUAUGUGUCAUAAAAAGCUAAUGAAACAGCUAUUUACCAAACAGUUUUACACGAAACCGCUAAUUCAAUCCGCUAGUCAAAACAUCUAUUUCAAUCAGCUAGUCAAAACAUCUAAUUCAACCCGCUAACAGCUAACCGCUAACAGCUAAUUCC